AGCAGCCGCGGUAAUUCCAGCUCCAAUAGCGUAUAUUAAAGUUGUUGCAGUUAAAAAGCUCGUAGUUGAAUUUCGGGAUCAGACUGUCGGUCGUGCCUCGGUACGCACUGGCAUUAUUGGUUCCUACCUUCUGAAGAACCGCGAUGUCAUUAAUUUGGUGUCGUGGGGAAUCAGGACUGUUACUUUGAAAAAAUUAGAGUGUUUAAAGCAGGCGCACGCUUGAAUACAUUAGCAUGGAAUAAUGAAAUAGGACGUUUGAUUCUAUUUUGUUGGUUUCUAGGAUCGACGUAAUGAUUAAUAGGGAUAGUUGGGGGCAUUAGUAUUCAAUUGUCAGAGGUGAAAUUCUUGGAUUUAUUGAAGACUAACUACUGCGAAAGCAUUUGCCAAGGAUGUUUUCAUUAAUCAAGAACGAAAGUUAGGGGAUCGAAGACGAUCAGAUACCGUCGUAGUCUUAACCAUAAACUAUGCCGACUAGGGAUCGGAUGAUGUUAAUUUUAUAAUGACUCAUUCGGCGCCUUACG
rnacentral:rRNA from 1 species